rnacentral:rRNA from 1 species
UGAGGAAUAUUGGUCAAUGGGCGAGAGCCUGAACCAGCCAAGUCGCGUGAGGGAGGAAGGUCCUACGGAUUGUAAACCCCUUUUGCCGGGGAGCAAAGGGGCCAUUUAUGGCAGGAUGAGCGUACCCGGAGAAAAAGCAUCGGCUAACUCCGUGCCAGCAGCCGCGGUAAUACGGAGGAUGCGAGCGUUAUCCGGAUUUAUUGGGUUUAAAGGGUGCGCAGGCGGACUCGUCAAGUCGGAUGUGAAAUCCCCGGGCUCAACCUGGGAACAGCAUACUAAACUGGUGGACUAGAGUAUUGCAGGGGGGAGACGGAAUUCCAGGUGUAGCGGUGGAAUGCGUAGAUAUCUGGAAGAACACCAAAGGCGAAGGCAGUCUCCUGGGCAAAUACUGACGCUCAUAUGCGAAAGCGUGGGUAGCAAACAGGAUUAGAUACCCUGGUAGU